GAUGAAGAACGUAGUGAAAUGCGAUAAGUAAUGUGAAUUGCAGAAUUCAGUGAAUCAUCGAAUCUUUGAACGCACAUUGCGCCCGCCAGUAUUCUGGCGGGCAUGCCUGUUCGAGCGUCAUUUCAACCAUCAAGCCCCCGGCUUGUGUUGGGGACCUGCGGCUGCCGCAGGCCCUGAAAACCAGUGGCGGGCUCGCUAGUCACUCCGAGCGUAGUAAUACAUCUCGCUCAGGGCGUGCUGCGGGUUCCGGCCGUUAAAAAGCCUUAUUUACCCAAGGUUGACCUCGGAUCAGGUAGGAAGACCCGCUGAACUUAAGCAUAUCAAUAAGCGGAGGA
rnacentral:misc_RNA from 1 species